rnacentral:lncRNA from 1 species
CACUAAAGACCACACGCUCCAUUGAACAUUUAUGGCUGCAAAUGGCUCCUCCGUGCGGGUGAGGACACGGAAGCACAGGGAGGUUAUGCCACUCGCCCAAAGACAAACAACUAAUCAGUGACAGCUGAGACUUGGACCUCAGAACCUACACUUUAUAACUAUUUUACAGUUCUGGGCGUCAGGGAAUCUCGUAUGAGGAGCCCCUAACCCGGCCCAGGUGGAGGCUCUGCUUCCUCAGUGUCAGCAUCAUUCACAGCAGGCAUGUCCCUCCUGCCUCCAAGAGAGUCACCAGCAGCUUCCUCCUCCACAUCUGUUCUCUCUCUCUCUCUGGCCAUUCACUGUGGGGGAAGUAAUUUCCAUGCCCUGAGUCCAUUCAGGCAGCUUGUGAAGAGGCCCACAUGGCCAACAGCCAGUGAGGAACUGAGGCCUGCAGUGACCACUUGGAUGAGCUUGGAAGCACAUCCUCCAGCCCCAGUCAAGUCUUGAGGUGAGACCACAGUCCUGGCCAACAGGUGACUACAACAUCAUGGGAAACCUAGAGCCAUUCAGCUAAGCCACUCUCAGAUUGCUGAUCCCCAGAAGCUGCGUGAGAUAAUAAAUGUUUGUUGUUUUAA